GGGCGAACUGUCUCAUUGAAGGGGCAACCGUCCAUACAAGAGGACUGCGUGUAUAGCUAGUAGGUGAGGUAACGGCUCCCUAGGCGACGAACAUAGCCGACCUGAGAGGUGAUCGGCCACACUGGGAUGAACACGGCCCAGACUCCUACGGGAGGCAGCAGUAGGGAAUCUUCGGCAAUGGGGGCAACCCUGACCGAGCAACGCCGCGUGAGUGAAGAAGGUUUUCGGAUCGUAAAGCUCUGUUGUAAGUCAAGAACGAGUGUGAGAGUGGAAAGUUCACACUGUGACGGUAGCUUACCAGAAAGGGACGGCUAACUACGUGCCAGCAGCCGCGGUAAUACGUAGGUCCCGAGCGUUGUCCGGAUUUAUUGGGCGUAAAGCGAGCGCAGGCGGUUUGAUAAGUCUGAAGUUAAAGGCUGUGGCUCAACCAUAGUUCGCUUUGGAAACUGUCAAACUUGAGUGCAGAAGGGGAGAGUGGAAUUCCAUGUGUAGCGGUGAAAUGCGUAGAUAUAUGGAGGAACACCGGUGGCGAAAGCGGCUCUCUGGUCUGUAACUGACGCUGAGGCUCGAAAGCGUGGGGAGCGAACAGGAUUAGAUACCCUGGUAGUCCGCGCCGUAAACGAUGAGUGCUAGGUGUUGGAUCCUUUCCGGGAUUCAGUGC
rnacentral:rRNA from 1 species